rnacentral:rRNA from 1 species
UGGGGAAUAUUGGACAAUGGGGGGAACCCUGAUCCAGCCAUGCCGCGUGUGUGAAGAAGGCCUUAUGGUUGUAAAGCACUUUAAGCGAGGAGGAGGCUACUGAGACUAAUACUCUUGGAUAGUGGACGUUACUCGCAGAAUAAGCACCGGCUAACUCUGUGCCAGCAGCCGCGGUAAUACAGAGGGUGCGAGCGUUAAUCGGAUUUACUGGGCGUAAAGCGUGCGUAGGCGGCUUUUUAAGUCGGANGUGAAAUCCCCGAGNUUAACUUGGGAAUUGCAUUCGAUACUGGGAAGCUAGAGUAUGGGAGAGGAUGGUAGAAUUCCAGGUGUAGCGGUGAAAUGCGUAGAGAUCUGGAGGAAUACCGAUGGCGAAGGCAGCCAUCUGGCCUAAUACUGACGCUGAGGUACGAAAGCAUGGGGAGCAAACAGGAUUAGAUACCCUGGUAGUCCAUGCCGUAAACGAUGUCUACUAGCCGUUGGGGCCUUUGAGGCUUUAGUGGCGCAGCUAACGCGAUAAGUAGACCGCCU